UUCGCUCAAGCGUUGAGUUAUUCAAUGUCGUCUUCGAAUGAAGCGAAAUCUGCAUCCGCACAUUGUAAAAGAUCCAGGAUGCAUAGUUCCAUAUAAAACGCGCAUGCGCUCUGUUUAGAGUCAUUACAUUUGCUUUCUCUAAGUAGGCGCCAACUAUCACUUAAAAGUCCAAGAGAGAGGAUUUGCACUUUAUUAUUGCUUAUUUUACCAAAGGAGGAAUUUUCUCUGCUGCCGACAUCAAAGAUGAAGAGAUUUGUUUUCCUUUCUUGCUUUGCUGUAAUGUGCACAGCCAGUUUUUUCGGCAGAACGACUUCCAAACCAGAUGCCGUCAACUUGUGCAUAUUUUCUCUGAGUCCAGACGACUAUGCUCCCAAGUGUUUCAACUGCUUAAAUGCCGUGUAUUCAAACGCUUUAAAAGCGUGUGUCAAUGCCACCGAAAUGCCUAGCAAUAUUUCGUAUUCUAGUGCAAAAUGCCUGGAGAGAAACUGUGCCAUCAAUUAUCCCACACCAUCCACUGUGGCUAGUGGAGACAAAACAUCAUUUCUUGAAAAUCUGAAAAAGUUACUACGUAUGGAACGAGAUGUUGGGAAUGGCGUAGAAGAGGACAUAACAGAACAAAAUAUGUCGAAUUAUACGUUCAACUCUGAUGUGAAUAUCAUAGCCACUAUCGAAACUUUUGCUUCAGACUUGUCGAUUCUACUAGAUUAUGACUGAUAUAUUAACCUAACAGACAAUGAGUAAAUUAGAAGAAUUUAUAUAAAAGCAUUUAUCUUGAUCAUGCAAUCGUAACUCGUUAAGUUUAAUUCUGCAUGCCAGUGCACAUUUAAUGACAGUAAUGUUAUAAUAUAGAAUAUUACGACGAGUUAACUAAACCUCGUUUUGCAAUAAAUGCAGUCUUUUUUCCUUCCGAUGUUAUUUGCAAAAUGUAUCAAAAAGAGACUCUUAGCAAUGUACUGACGACUGUGACAUCGGAUACUAUAUUUAAAGUUAUCAUCAUUUAAGAAAUGUAUAAAAAGAAUGAACUGUUUGUUAGUUUUA